GCGAAUAUUCCGCAGCUUUAUACAUGCAAGUCGAGGGGCAGCAUGAGUGUAGCAAUACAUUUGAUGGCGACCGGCAAACGGGUGCGGAACACGUACACAACCUUCCUUUAAGUGGAGAAUAGCCCAGGGAAACUUGGAUUAAUACUCCGUAACAUAUAGAAGUGGCAUCACUUUUAUAUUAAAGCUCAGGCGCUUAGAGAUGGGUGUGCGGCUGAUUAGGUAGUUGGCGGGGUAACGGCCCACCAAGCCUUCGAUCAGUAACUGGUGUGAGAGCACGACCAGUCACACGGGCACUGAGACACGGGCCCGACUCCUACGGGAGGCAGCAGUAAGGAAUAUUGGUCAAUGGACGCAAGUCUGAACCAGCCAUGCCGCGUGGAGGAUGAAGGUCCUCUGGAUUGUAAACUUCUUUUAUCUGGGAAGAAAUCCAUUUUUUCUAAAAUGGUUGACGGUACCAGAUGAAUAAGCACCGGCUAACUCCGUGCCAGCAGCCGCGGUAAUACGGAGGGUGCAAGCGUUAUCCGGAUUCACUGGGUUUAAAGGGUGCGUAGGUGGGUCUGUAAGUCCGUGGUGAAAUCUCCGAGCUUAACUCGGAAACUGCCAUGGAUACUAUAGGUCUUGAAUACUGUGGAGGUCAGCGGAAUAUGUCAUGUAGCGGUGAAAUGCUUAGAUAUGACAUAGAACACCAAUUGCGAAGGCAGCUGGCUACACAAAUAUUGACACUGAGGCACGAAAGCGUGGGGAUCAAACAGGAUUAGAUACCCUGGUAGUCCACGCCCUAAACGAUGGAUACUCGACAUUUGCGAUACACUGCAAGUGUCUGAGCGAAAGCAUUAAGUAUCCCACCUGGGAAGUACGAUCGCAAGAUUGAAACUCAAAGGAAUUGACGG
rnacentral:rRNA from 1 species